rnacentral:rRNA from 1 species
UACAGAGGGGGCAAGCGUUAUUCGGAAUUAUUGGGCGUAAAGGGCGCGUAGGCGGCCUGGCAAGUGGAAGGUGAAAUCCCUCGGCUUAACCGAGGAACUGCCUCCCAAACUGCUUGGCUUGAGACCAGGAGAGGUGAGUGGAAUUCCCAGUGUAGCGGUGAAAUGCGUAGAUAUUGGGAGGAACACCAGUGGCGAAGGCGGCUCACUGGACUGGUACUGACGCUGAGACGCGAAAGCGUGGGGAGCGAACAGG